GGGUUGUGAGGUUAAGCGACUAAGCGUACACGGUGGAUGCCCUGGCAGUCAGAGGCGAUGAAGGACGUGCUAAUCUGCGAAAAGCGUCGGUAAGGUGAUAUGAACCGUUAUAACCGGCGAUGUCCGAAUGGGGAAACCCAGUGCAAUUCGUUGCACUAUCGUUAACUGAAUACAUAGGUUAACGAGGCGAACCGGGGGAACUGAAACAUCUAAGUACCCCGAGGAAAAGAAAUCAACCGAGAUUCCCCCAGUAGCGGCGAGCGAACGGGGAGCAGCCCAGAGUCUGAAUCAGCUUGUGUGUUAGUGGAACGGUCUGGAAAGUCCGACGGUACAGGGUGAUAGUCCCGUACACCAAAAUGCACAGGUUGUGAACUCGAAGAGUAGGGCGGGACACGUGGUAUCCUGUCUGAAUAUGGGGGGACCAUCCUCCAAGGCUAAAUACUCCUGACUGACCGAUAGUGAACCAGUACCGUGAGGGAAAGGCGAAAAGAACCCCGGCGAGGGGAGUGAAAAAGAACCUGAAACCGUGUACGUACAAGCAGUGGGAGCACCUUCGGGUGUGACUGCGUACCUUUUGUAUAAUGGGUCAGCGACUUAUAUUCUGUAGCAAGGUUAACCGUAUAGGGGAGCCGCAGGGAAACCGAGUCUUAACUGGGCGUUAAGUUGCAGGGUAUAGACCCGAAACCCGGUGAUCUAGCCAUGGGCAGGUUGAAGGUUGGGUAACACUAACUGGAGGACCGAACCGACUAAUGUUGAAAAAUUAGCGGAUGACUUGUGGCUGGGGGUGAAAGGCCAAUCAAACCGGGAGAUAGCUGGUUCUCCCCGAAAGCUAUUUAGGUAGCGCCUCGUGAAUUCAUCUUCGGGGGUAGAGCACUGUUUCGGCUAGGGGGUCAUCCCGACUUACCAACCCGAUGCAAACUACGAAUACCGAAGAAUGUUAUCACGGGAGACACACGGCGGGUGCUAACGUCCGUCGUGAAGAGGGAAACAACCCAGACCGCCAGCUAAGGUCCCAAAGUCAUGGUUAAGUGGGAAACGAUGUGGGAAGGCACAGACAGCCAGGAUGUUGGCUUAGAAGCAGCCAUCAUUUAAAGAAAGCGUAAUAGCUCACUGGUCGAGUCGGCCUGCGCGGAAGAUGUAACGGGGCUAAACCAUGCACCGAAGCUGCGGCAGCGACACUAUGUGUUGUUGGGUAGGGGAGCGUUCUGUAAGCCUGCGAAGGUGACCUGUGAGGGUUGCUGGAGGUAUCAGAAGUGCGAAUGCUGACAUAAGUAACGAUAAAGCGGGUGAAAAGCCCGCUCGCCGGAAGACCAAGGGUUCCUGUCCAACGUUAAUCGGGGCAGGGUGAGUCGACCCCUAAGGCGAGGCCGAAAGGCGUAGUCGAUGGGAAACAGGUUAAUAUUCCUGUACUUGGUGUUACUGCGAAGGGGGGACGGAGAAGGCUAUGUUAGCCGGGCGACGGUUGUCCCGGUUUAAGCAUGUAGGCUGGUUAUCCAGGCAAAUCCGGAUAAUCAAGGCUGAGGUGUGAUGACGAGGCACUACGGUGCUGAAGUAACAAAUGCCCUGCUUCCAGGAAAAGCCUCUAAGCAUCAGGUAACAUCAAAUCGUACCCCAAACCGACACAGGUGGUCAGGUAGAGAAUACCAAGGCGCUUGAGAGAACUCGGGUGAAGGAACUAGGCAAAAUGGUGCCGUAACUUCGGGAGAAGGCACGCUGGUGUGUAGGUGAAGUCCCUGCGGAUGGAGCUGAGACCAGUCGAAGAUACCAGCUGGCUGCAACUGUUUAUUAAAAACACAGCACUGUGCAAACACGAAAGUGGACGUAUACGGUGUGACGCCUGCCCGGUGCCGGAAGGUUAAUUGAUGGGGUUAUCCGUAAGGAGAAGCUCUUGAUCGAAGCCCCGGUAAACGGCGGCCGUAACUAUAACGGUCCUAAGGUAGCGAAAUUCCUUGUCGGGUAAGUUCCGACCUGCACGAAUGGCGUAAUGAUGGCCAGGCUGUCUCCACCCGAGACUCAGUGAAAUUGAACUCGCUGUGAAGAUGCAGUGUACCCGCGGCAAGACGGAAAGACCCCGUGAACCUUUACUAUAGCUUGACACUGAACAUUGAGCCUUGAUGUGUAGGAUAGGUGGGAGGCUUUGAAGCGUGGACGCCAGUCUGCGUGGAGCCAACCUUGAAAUACCACCCUUUAAUGUUUGAUGUUCUAACGUUGGCCCCUGACCGGGGUUGCGGACAGUGUCUGGUGGGUAGUUUGACUGGGGCGGUCUCCUCCCAAAGCGUAACGGAGGAGCACGAAGGUUAGCUAAUCCUGGUCGGACAUCAGGAGGUUAGUGCAAUGGCAUAAGCUAGCUUGACUGCGAGCGUGACGGCGCGAGCAGGUGCGAAAGCAGGUCAUAGUGAUCCGGUGGUUCUGAAUGGAAGGGCCAUCGCUCAACGGAUAAAAGGUACUCCGGGGAUAACAGGCUGAUACCGCCCAAGAGUUCAUAUCGACGGCGGUGUUUGGCACCUCGAUGUCGGCUCAUCACAUCCUGGGGCUGAAGUAGGUCCCAAGGGUAUGGCUGUUCGCCAUUUAAAGUGGUACGCGAGCUGGGUUUAGAACGUCGUGAGACAGUUCGGUCCCUAUCUGCCGUGGGCGCUGGAGAAUUGAGGGGGGCUGCUCCUAGUACGAGAGGACCGGAGUGGACGCAUCACUGGUGUUCGGGUUGUCAUGCCAAUGGCACUGCCCGGUAGCUAAAUGCGGAAGAGAUAAGUGCUGAAAGCAUCUAAGCACGAAACUUGCCCCGAGAUGAGUUCUCCCUGAGACUUUAAGUCUCCUGAAGGAACGUUGAAGACGACGACGUUGAUAGGCCGGGUGUGUAAGCGCAGCGAUGCGUUGAGCUAACCGGUACUAAUGAACCGUGAGGCUUAACCUUACAACGCCGAAG
rnacentral:rRNA from 1 species